AAGUUGCAGCUCAACUUGAAGGACAAUUGGGUCAUCGUCCAUCGUAUUAUGAACUAUUCAAGCAUACACAUACCAAACAACACGGUGGAUAAACAUUCAUAGCUGAAAAAGCCAAACAAAUUCAUGAACAAGUUGAAUUGCAACGGGAGAUGUUGGCAUAAAAUGGGGAGCAGGUGGAUGAUAAU